UACGUAGGUGGCGAGCGUUGUCCGGAUUUACUGGGCGUAAAGAGCGCGCAGGCGGUCGUACAGGUCGCGUGUGAAAGCCCCCGGCUCAACUGGGGAGGGUCACGCGAUACUGUUCGACUCGAAGGCAGGAGAGGGAAGCGGAAUUCCCGGUGUAGUGGUGAAAUGCGUAGAUAUCGGGAGGAACACCAGUGGCGAAGGCGGCUUCCUGGCCUGUUCUUGACGCUGAGGCGCGAAAGCUAGGGUAGCAAACGGG
rnacentral:rRNA from 1 species